AAGACCUUGCGCUUUUGGAGCGGCCGAUGUCUGAUUAGCUAGUUGGUGGGGUAAUAGCCUACCAAAGCUUCGAUCAGUAGCUGGUCUGAGAGGACGGCCAGCCACACUGGGACUGAGACACGGCCCAGACUCCUACGGGAGGCAGCAGUGGGGAAUUUUGGACAAUGGGCGCAAGCCUGAUCCAGCCAUGCCGCGUGAGUGAAGAAGGCCUUCGGGUUGCAAAGCUCUUUCAGCCGGGAAGAAAAGGCUACGACGAAUAAUCGUAGCUCAUGACGGUAUCGGAAGAAGAAGCACCGGCUAACUACGUGCCAGCAGCCGCGGUAAUACGUAGGGUGCGAGCGUUAAUCGGAAUUACUGGGCGUAAAGGGUGCGCAGGCGGUUUUGUAAGUCAGAUGUGAAAUCCCCGGGCUUAACCUGGGAACU
rnacentral:rRNA from 1 species